rfam:Myotis brandtii contig170992, whole genome shotgun sequence.
GCCGGUGUUGCUCAGUGGGUAGAGCGUUGGCCUGUGGACCGAAGGGUCCCGGGUUCGAUUCCCGGUCAAAGGCA